rnacentral:rRNA from 1 species
UAUCCGGAAUUACUGGGUUUAAAGGGUGCGUAGGCGGAUGAUUAAGUCUAAGGUGAAAGUUUGUCGCUUAACGAUAAAAUUGCCUUGGAUACUGGUUAUCUUGAAUAAGGAUGAGGAUGGCGGAAUGUGGCAUGUAGCGGUGAAAUGCAUAGAUAUGCCAUAGAACACCAAUUGCGAAGGCAGCUAUCUGGUCUUUUAUUGACGCUGAGGCACGAAAGCGUGGGGAUCGAACAGGAUUAGAUACCCUGGUAGUCCACGCCGUAAACGAUGAUCACUCGUCAUUGGCGAUACACUGUCAGUGACCUAGCGAAAGCGUUAAGUGAUCCACCUGGGGAGUACGAUCGCAAGAUUGAAACUCAAAGGAAUUGACGGGGGCCCGCACAAGCGGUGGAGCAUGUGGUUUAAUUCGAUGAUACGCGAGGAACCUUACCUGGGCUUGAACGUAUUAUGACAGUCCCCGAAAGGGGAUCUUCCUUUAGGACAUUUUACGAGGUGCUGCAUGGUUGUCGUCAGCUCGUGCCGUGAGGUGUCGGGUUAAGUCCCAUAACGAGCGCAACCCCUAUCUUUAGUUGCCAGCGGGUAAUGCCGGGGACUCUAGAGAAACUGCCCGUGUAAACGGUGAGGAAGGUGGGGACGACGUCAAGUCAUCACGGCCCUUACGUCCUGGGCUACACACGUGCUACAAUGGCGAGGAACAAAGGGAAGCUACCGCGCGAGCGGAUGCAGAUCUCUAAAACUCGCCUCAGUUCGGAUCGGAGUCUGCAACCCGACUCCGUGAAGCUGGAAUCGCUAGUAAUCGCAUAUCAGCCAUGAUGCGGUGAAUACGUUCCCGGGCCUUGUACACACCGCCCGUCAAGCCAUGGAAGCUGGGGGUGCCUGAAGUUCGUGACCGCAAGGAGCGACCUAGGGCAAAACCGGUGACUGGGGCUAAGUCGUAACAAGGUAGCCGUACCGGAAGGUGCGGCUG